AGAGUUUGAUCAUGGCUCAGGAUGAACGCUGGCGGUAUGCCUUAUACAUGCAAGUCGUACGAGAGUUUUUAACUCAAGUGGCGGACGGGUGAGUAACACGUAAGAAUUUGCCUUUAGGAGGGGGAUAACAACUGGAAACGGUUGCUAAUACCCCAUAUGCUUUCGAGUGAAAUGGAUUUCCGCCUAAAGAGAAGCUUGCGGCUGAUUAGCUUGUUGGUGGGGUAAUGGCCUACCAAGGCGACGAUCAGUAUCUGGUUUGAGAGGACGAUCAGACACACUGGAACUGAGACACGGUCCAGACUCCUACGGGAGGCAGCAGUAGGGAAUUUUCCGCAAUGGGCGAAAGCCUGACGGAGCAAUACCGCGUGAGGGAUGACUGCCUAUGGGUUGUAAACCUCUUUUUUCAGGGAGGAACAAAAUGACGUGUACCUGAAGAAUAAGCAUCGGCUAACUCCGUGCCAGCAGCCGCGGUAAGACGGAGGAUGCAAGUGUUAUCCGGAAUCACUGGGCGUAAAGCGUCUGUAGGUGGCUUGAUAAGUCAACUGUUAAAUCUUGAAGCUCAACUUCAAAAUCGCAGUCGAAACUAUCAGACUAGAGUAUAGUAGAGGUAAAGGGAAUUUCCAGUGGAGCGGUGAAAUGCGUAGAGAUUGGAAAGAACACCGAUGGCGAAGGCACUUUACUGGGCUAUUACUGGCACUCAGAGACGAAAGCUAGGGUAGCAAAUGGGAUUAGAUACCCCAGUAGUCCUAGCCGUAAACAAUGGAUACUAGGUGUUGAACAGAUCGACCUGUGCAGUACUAAAGCUAACGCGUUAAGUAUCCCGCCUGGGAAGUAUGCUCGCAAGAGUGAAACUCAAAGGA
rnacentral:rRNA from 1 species